CCUGUUUUCGUGCAGCCGACCGCCAGUGCGAUGGGACGCUUCGUUCGGAAGAUCUCGAGACUGCGGCUCGGCGUAUUCGGUGGGUUGUAUCGCAUAGUCGAGAUGUGGCGACUCGGUCACCCAACGUUAGUAACAUGCCGUUCUACUCUCUCGCUCCCCUCGGGUCGGGCGAGAAGCGAGAAGAGCGGCCCCCUUACGACGUCCAGUGCGUCCUCGGCGGCGCGUGCGGCCUGCCUGCACCGUUGCGUGCGUGCGGCGUGCUUGCACCGUCCGGCCCUCUGGACCGUCGUGUGCUUACGGAUGCAGAGAAUCGGAUGGGGUCGGGUGCCCCGUGUGGCUCCCGACCCGACGAAGGCCCCGGAAGGUGUUUGCGCACGCCGCGAGCGGGCAAACAAACCAGAGGGCAGAUAGAAUAAACGACCG
rnacentral:misc_RNA from 1 species